rnacentral:lncRNA from 1 species
CGCAGAGCUCGUAAUGGCUAUGGGGAGGACAGGCCAGCUCUGGAAGAAAACAGGUGGGGGUUAAAUAAUUGGGCAAACAUUACUAUUCUGGAGCAUUUCCAACCAGAAGAGGACCAAGGGAGCAGAGAGAGGGUUGCGGGGGCCAAGGGAGAGACGGGGUUUCACCACGUUGACCAGGCCUGUCUCAAACUCAGCAGGUGGACCUGGGUCCCAUUAACCUGGACAGACACCUCCGAGACGGGCAUGAGGGGGCUGCUGGGUCUGUGCUGUACCCUGAAGAACGGCAAUGAGCUGGAGGAGCCACAGGAUUUGGCAAAGACGGACACACAGAACAAAGGAACCAGGUGCAGAAGUGGAACGUGAGAGUGGACAUGAAACGUGACCGCUGAAGCACAGCAUCACAUAGAGACAGGCUGAAGCUCCUGACUUCUGCCUCGGCACUUAUGGGGUCUCCGCCCCACAUCCUAGGACCUGGGGACACAGCGAUGACCGAGACAGAGAUCCCUGACCUCGUGAAGCAGGUGUUCUAGUGCAGACGUUGACAAGCCACACCCCUGGGGCCAAAUCUGGUCCUCCACCUGCUUUGGCACAGCCUACAGUCUAAGAAUAGUCUUGACAUGUUUAAAUGGUUAGAAAAAAAGAAAUCAAAAGAGGACUAUUUUGUGAGGCGUGAAAAUCAUGUAAAAUUCAAAUUCCGAUGUCUAUAAAUAACGUCUUCAUGGAAGCGGCUCGCUGGUCCGCGCAUCGCCUGCGGUUGUUCUUGUGUUACAACAGGAGCUCUGAGUAGCUGUGGCAGCGUGUGGCCCAGGAAGCCUAAAAUAUUUAUUAUCUGGCCUUUUACCAUAAAACUAUGCUGACCUAUUCUAGAGUGGGGGAUGGACGACAAACUAGCAAUAAAUAAAAGAUCAUUUCACAUGGGGAAACUGGGUCAGAUCUGUGCUGCCCAGCUUUACGUAGCACAGAGUGGCUGAGCCCCAGUGGCUGAUUUGAAGACAGUGGCCGGGGGGGCCUCUCUGCAGAGGUGACAUGGGAGCCGAGGCCUGCAUGAUGGAAGGAGCCAGCCAUGUGCGCAUCUGGGAAAGAGCGUUCCAGGCCAGGGGAAUAGCAGGUGCAAAGGCCCAGUGGUGUGAAGGCAUCUGGCGUGGUCCAG